UUUCUUCCCCCCUUUCUCUCCGCUGCCCUAGUGAAAAUGAGGGAGAGCGACGGAAAGCCUCCCUCAUCGCCUCCCGACCUGACCCCGAGAGAUCGCCUCUCCCUCCAAAACUCGAGUGCUCGUUCUCUCCUCUCUCCAAAACUCGAGUGCUCGUUCUCUCCUCUCUCGCCUCCUCGUUCUCUCCUCUCCUCUCCUCUCUCUCUCUCUCUCUCUCUCUCUCUCUCUCUCUCUCUCUCUCUUUCUCUCGAUCCAUGAUUUAACUUUGCCUAAACCCUAGUUCUACGCCUGACCAAACUCUCGACGCCGAUCAAAUCCCAGUCUGACGCCAAUCAAACCGUUGUUCAACUUUUUUAGUUUUUGACAGUAAAACAACACUGUAGCUCUCCGAUCUGAUUGAAUUUUCUCAGAUUUGCUGAAGAUUCCUGUUCUCUCAUGUGAAAAUGAAUCUAGCAAAGAAAAAACUUAAUGAUUCAUCAGUUAAGGGGAUGAAAGAUGCGAGAUUGAUGUUUUGAUGGGCUCACUAAAGUCAAAAACCAAGGAGUUCUGCAUAUUUUUCUCUCUUUUGUUUUGAUUCUCUAUAUAUGAAAUUGAUUGUAAUAGACUUUGUUGAUUAAGAUCUUCUAUAUGAAAUUGAUUGUAAUAGACUUUGUUGGUUAAGAUUUUCUAUAUGAAAUUGAUUGUAAUAGACUUUGUGACUAGAAAUGGAUUAUACUUUAUAUUAGGAAUAUCAUGACAUUUACUUUAGAUU